UAGGAUGUGGUGUAUUAGGUAGCACAGAUAAUUUUGGAUUCUGAGGGGUAGGUUUGAGUCCUAUAAUUCUAC
rfam:Papio anubis isolate 1X1155 chromosome 2, whole genome shotgun sequence.